rnacentral:rRNA from 1 species
GUGUCAGCCGCCGCGGUAAUACGGAGGGUGCAAGCGUUGUCCGGAUUUAUUGGGUUUAAAGGGUGCGUAGGCGGCUAUUUAAGUCAGUGGUGAAAUCCUGCAGCUCAACUGUAGAAUUGCCAUUGAUACUGGAUAGCUUGAGUACAGACGAGGUAGGCGGAAUUUAUGGUGUAGCGGUGAAAUGCAUAGAUACCAUAAAGAACCCCUAUUGCGAAGGCAGCUUACUAGGCUGUAACUGACGCUGAGGCACGAAAGCGUGGGGAUCAAACAGGAUUAGAAACCCCUGUAGUCC